UCCCAGUGAAGAAACAUUCAUGUCUUAUUCCCUGUCCUAGUCCCAUAGCCUGUAAAGGUGAACCCACUGGGGUUGGCUGGGGGAGAAGAGGAAAGUUCAUUCCAGAAGGAACUGUCUGAGGGAU
ensembl:snoRNA SNORD22 Small nucleolar RNA SNORD22